UACAGAGGUCUCAAGCGUUGUUCGGAUUCAUUGGGCGUAAAGGGUGCGUAGGCGGUCCGGUAAGUCCGCUGUGAAAGUCGAGGGCUCAACCCUCGAAUGCCGGUGGAUACUGUCGGGCUUGAGUACGGGAGAGGCGAGUGGAAUUCCUGGUGUAGCGGUGAAAUGCGCAGAUAUCAGGAGGAACACCGAUUGCGAAGGCAGCUCGCUGGAACGUUACUGACGCUGAGACGCGAAAGCGUGGGGAGCGAACAGG
rnacentral:rRNA from 1 species